rnacentral:rRNA from 1 species
UACGAAGGGUGCAAGCGUUACUCGGAAUUACUGGGCGUAAAGCGUGCGUAGGUGGUGAGUUAAGUCUGUCGUGAAAGCCCCGGGCUCAACCUGGGAAUGGCGAUGGAUACUGGCUCGCUAGAGUGAGGUAGAGGAGAGUGGAAUUCCCGGUGUAGCAGUGAAAUGCGUAGAGAUCGGGAGGAACACCAGAGGCGAAAGCGGCGCUCUGGGCUGCACCUGACGCUGAACUGCGAAAGCCAGGGGAGCGAACGGG